CGGACGGGUGAGUAACACGUGGAUAACCUACCUAUAAGACUGGGAUAACUUCGGGAAACCGGAGCUAAUACCGGAUAAUAUAUUGAACCGCAUGGUUCAAUAGUGAAAGACGGUUUUGCUGUCACUUAUAGAUGGAUCCGCGCUGCAUUAGCUAGUUGGUAAGGUAACGGCUUACCAAGGCAACGAUGCGUAGCCGACCUGAGAGGGUGAUCGGCCACACUGGAACUGAGACACGGUCCAGACUCCUACGGGAGGCAGCAGCU
rnacentral:rRNA from 1 species